UACGAAGGGGGCUAGCGUUGUUCGGAAUUACUGGGCGUAAAGCGCGCGCAGGCGGUUCUUCAAGUCAGAGGUGAAAGCCCAGAGCUCAACUCUGGAAUGGCCUUUGAGACUAGAGAACUAGGGUACGGGAGAGGUGAGUGGAAUUCCGAGUGUAGAGGUGAAAUUCGUAGAUAUGGGGAGGAACACCGGUGGCGAAGGCGGCCACCUGGACGGUAACUGACGCUGAGACGCGAAAGCGUGGGGAGCAAACAGG
rnacentral:rRNA from 1 species